ACGCAUACUAUUAAUAAUAAGGUUAAUAAUAAUUACUAAUAAUGACGUAGUGUAAAUAUAUAAUGUAAAAGUUAAUAUAUAUGGGAGAAAAACACCAAAAACAAAAUGACAUGUAGGAAAUAUUAUUAUGCAAUAAAUAACAGAAUAAAGUGUCUCUAAUGUAAGUAUAUGUAAUAUAUAAAAUUAAUGUAAGGAACUCGGCAAAUACUAUCUUCAACUGUUUAUCAAAAACAUAGCUUAAUGAAUGAUAUUAAGUUUUUUCUGCCCAAUGGGCUCUAAAUGGCCGCAGUACCCUGACUGUGCAAAGGUAGCAUAAUCAAUAGGCUUUUAAAUGGGGUCUGGAAUGAAAGAAUAUAUGGGGAAAUACUGUCUAUCUUUAAUAUUUUGAAAUUGCUAAAUAGGUGAAAAUACCUAUAUAAUUAUAAAAGACGAGAAGACCCUAGAAAUUUUCUAUAAAGUAUAUAUAAAUACUAUUAUUUUGUUGGGGCGACAGAAUAACAGCUAACUUAUUUUAAUUUAUUAGAAUUUUUUAUAAUGAGAAAUUAAAUUACUCUAGGGAUAACAGCAUAAUUAUACUAUAGUUUGUGACCUCGAUGUUGGAUUAAGGAGGGUUUUACUCAGAAGGUAAAACACCAUGUUCUGUUCGAACAAACACCCUUACAUGA
rnacentral:rRNA from 1 species